GAAUAAGAUUGAGGUUGCGACGUACAAGAGUCACAGGUCAGACGUGGUUUGUCACGAAUGAAGGCUUGUAAAAGGGUGCGUUGCCGAAAUUGGGUUGUGACAAACAACAGCUCGGUUGGGGCUUGGCUGAAUAAACCAAGCACUGUCGUAAAAGGAUGACUUUUACGGAGCGCUAUCGACUGA
rnacentral:ncRNA from 2 species